ACGCUCGACACCUACGGGAGCAGCAGUGGGGAAUAUUGCACAAUGGAGGAAACUCUGAUGCAGCGAUGCCGCGUGAGGGAAGAAGGUUUUCGGAUUGUAAACCUCUGUCUUUGGGGACGAUAAUGACGGUACCCAAGGAGGAAGCUCCGGCUAACUACGUGCUAGCAGCCGCGGUAAUCUGAGCGGGCUGGCAAGGC
rnacentral:rRNA from 1 species